AACAACAUUUGUGAUGUGUUCAUGAUUCUAGUUAUGGAAUGGAGUAAAUAUGUCCCUGAAAAGGAACUGAAAAUGGAAAGAAAGAAGAGCAAGAGAAGGAUUGCCUUACAGCUGUUGGCUUGAAUGUCCCCAUGAAGAGUGUCUGUGACUGAUGGUGAUGGCCUGGAUUAGCAUGAGGAGCCUGUUACUGAAGACGGAGAGAGCCCACAUCACCCUCUCCAGAUAUUCACAUUUUUCUCAUCCUCUACCUUUCCAAAGUUCCAAAACUCUGAGUGAAAUUUGCGAUUUUUAUUUGAAAUACUGAAGCAGUCACCCUUGUUAUGGAAUGAAAUGAGGACUGUCAGAAGACUGGCCGGAGUGAACAAUGUGCUGUAAGAUUGUCUU
rnacentral:lncRNA from 1 species